GACAGUUUAAUGAGUGCCACCUCUAAUACCCACAAACCAAUAACACAACACAUUUCUCUCGGUUUUUGUUUUUUCUAUAAACCAGCAUGCAUCGUAUACAUAGGCCAUACUUCCGGUUUCGAGUUUUCAUUCGUCCCUUCACGUGCACAAAAUAAAGAUUGUUUUGUAUUUCUUAUAUAGGUAAGAAAAAUUCGUUCCGAAUGUCAUAUCUCGUAUUAGACACCCACUAUUGCACUGCUGCUCUUUCUGUUGUAUUUUGAAACUUGUAUUUAGUUUUGGUAUUCAUGUGUAGGUACAAUGCCGUAUUUCAAGAUCAAAGAAAAAAAGAAACCCACAACGAUAGUGAAGAUUUACAACAACUUGACAGGGCGAUGGGUAACCCUUAAAGAGAAUAAGCGAAAGAAAAAAGACACAGUUUCAGCUGCUCCCUCCCAGCCAAACACAGUUAUUGCUACUUCCUCCCAGCAGCCGAUCCCGACAACAUCAUCCAUCAAUGUUGAGCCUAUGGCUGUAGUUAUUGCUGCUUCCUCCCAGCAACCGAUCCCGACAACAUCAUCCAUCGAUGUUGAGCCUAUGGCUGUAGGAAGAGCAUUGGGAAAGAAGGGGCGCAAUUUAAGCUUCCCCUACAAGAAACACUUUCUGGCACCUGUAGUCAAAGUUACAGGGAUGCCAGAGGGUGUUGAAUUUAAACACCCUUCCAAAUAUACAGUUUCAGAAUUAAAGAAAAUAAUUGCCAACAAGGCUCACAUCAAGAUGGAGCUUAUAGCACCGAGUGUGGCAGAAGAACCGAGUCUGUGUGCUGCAGAUUUCCAACAAACACCAGUUGUGGCGGAUGUUUUCAUGGCCUCAGACCCACCUUCAGAAGUAGUACAAACCACGUUGGUGCAGGAUAUGGAAGAGGCGCCUAUAAGCACUUUGCAACAUAGCACAGUAAAGAAGAAUUCUGCAAAGCAACACCAGGAAUCCGGGCGAAAAACCAAAGAACAGGAUUCAGAACUCUGUGGACAGCAGAAGAAGUACUCAUUGUCCAGCAACACUUCAGUCAGGAGUUGGCUGGGCUGAAGCCAGUUUCACGCAGCAGCAUUGAGAGUUUUUUGGCCCAACAAACAGUGGUCAAAAGGACUUCUACUGCAGUGGGAAAUUAUCUAUUAAGGAACAGGAAGAAGAAAAACAGACCUAAUGAUCAGGGUUAGGGUUAGGGUGAAUCAAAGCACCUUCUCACCCACACUGAUGAUGCUUGAGAUGUUGGAUUGAGUAUGAUGAAGGGCAUUGUGUAUUUUCAAGACACAUUUUCACUGCCAUAUGUCAUCUGUUUCACUGACUGAAGGGUGGGUUCUUUCUGGGUACUCCAACUUCUUUAUCACCAACCACCUGUGUGAUAAUGUUACAUGAUACAGCCCACCAAAUUCAAGACAUUGGAAUAUUGCAAUUUUUCCUUUUUAGUAGCUGUCAGUUACAUUGAGCGAUAUGUAUUCUUCAUUGUGUUGUCUUUGCAGACAUAAACGGUUUGCCUAGUGAUGUGGUUUGAGCUUAGUGCAGAAAAAGCACAUGUAUGAUUAUAUGAAAUGUGUAAUAGGAAAGUUGUGACACACUUGCUUUGUAACGAAUAUGUUGCUGUCCAUGUGAUUUUGACAUGGUAGGGGGUUUUGGUUGUGUGACUGUUAUGUAGCUUCAGAUAUGAACUGACUAUUUGAUCUACACUGUUGGUGUUGCUAUUGUGGUUAUGUUGUAACUGAUUAUAUAAAAAUGCAAUGAAGUGUAAGAUUAUAAGUUUUUUAAAGUUGGUCUUUAUGAUUAAAUUCUUUGCUGGCAUGCGUUUGUGCAACAGUGCUCCUUAGGAUUCAUCAAAAAUUAAAAAUUAUUGUCAUUUUGAUUUGGUAUAAUGAAAAAUUCUCAAGCAUUGGUUUAUAGCUUGCCUUUCAAACUUAACAAUAAGGGAUGACCAAUUUCAUGCCUUGUCAAAUAAAACCAAGCAUAAUGUAUCAUA